AAUCUUGACAUCCUUUGAAAACUCUAGAGAUAGAGCCUUCCCCUUCGGGGGACAAAGUGACAGGUGGUGCAUGGUUGUCGUCAGCUCGUGUCGUGAGAUGUUGGGUUAAGUCCCGCAACGAGCGCAACCCUUAAGCUUAGUUGCCAUCAUUAAGUUGGGCACUCUAGGUUGACUGCCGGUGACAAACCGGAGGAAGGUGGGGAUGACGUCAAAUCAUCAUGCCCCUUAUGAUUUGGGCUACACACGUGCUACAAUGGACAAUACAAAGGGCAGCUAAACCGCGAGGUCAUGCAAAUCCCAUAAAGUUGUUCUCAGUUCGGAUUGUAGUCUGCAACUCGACUACAUGAAGCUGGAAUCGCUAGUAAUCGUAGAUCAGCAUGCUACGGUGAAUACGUU
rnacentral:rRNA from 1 species